UUGGUCACUGAGCUCGUCUAUGCGGCAUGACCCCUCUGCUAUCUGGGCCCAUCUCUCAGGCUACUGCUGUACACUUUGUGAGUGCAGGUCAGGAUAGGUCUAAAAAUAAUAUCUGCUGUCUCUCCACCCUUCCCUUUGAAAUGGGCUUCCAGAGAGUCACAUGGAAUCUCCGAGAAGCCGGACAUGGAAAAGACGCAGCUGUGUAACGAAAAGCAGAUGGAAUUGUGGCACGAAGCAAGGACCUCCCAUAUGGAAGAACUGUAUUUGAGGAACUGUCAAAAGAUCAGUCAGCCUACAAGCUCUUAUAUAUCUCAGAGGAAGAGAUAGAGAGCAUGGGGAACCUCCCACCAGACACAAUCCGUGGGACAAUGUGGACGCACCAGAUUGUCACCGACAGUCCAGGAGAGAUAACUUAGAGGAUACUCAGUUGCUUCUGUUCCUUUCCACAUCACUGCAGCUGUUUCAGCCCAUGGACUGUGACUCUCUGGUUGAAAAAAAAGUGAGAGUCAGACCAAGAUGGAAAAUCCAACACAUCUCACAACGCCUUCCAGCCCAUUGAAGAUCUAAGUGAAACAUUGACCGGAAAGUGGUUUUGUGGCGGAGUAUGAUCAGGACGUUUACCCUGGUAUCGUGCAAGACGUUCAUGCAGAGAGUGGUGCUCUUGUGAAAACCAUGAGCCGCGUUGGCUCAAACCAUUUUCUUGGAGCCCCGUCCAGUGACCAAAAGGCACAUGGAGCUGGAUGCCUUGGUCUGGGAGGAACGUAGCUCUCUUUCUAAGCCUUUCGAUACCAUUGGAAACUCACUUGGUAGUACAUACAAAGUACAUACAUAAAAUAAAACAUGUACAACUCUCAA